rnacentral:rRNA from 1 species
CCUACGGGAGGCAGCAGUGGGGAAUAUUGCACAAUGGGGGUAACCCUGAUGCAGCGACGCCGCGUGAGGGAAGAAGUAUUUCGGUAUGUAAACCUCUAUCAGCAGGGAAGAAAAUGACGGUAUCUGACUAAGAAGCACCGGCUAACUACGUGCCAGCAGCCGCGGGAAUACGUAGGGGGCAAGCGUUAUUCGGAUUUACUGGGUGUAAAGGGUGCGUAGACGGUUAUGAAAGUCUGAAGUGAAAGCCCAAGGCUCAACCAUGGGACUGCAUUGGACACUGUAAGGCUGGAGUGUAGGAGAGGUAAGGGGAAUACCUAGUGUAGCGGUGAAAUGCGUAGAUAUUAGGAGGAACACCAGUGGCGAAGGCGGCUUACUGGACCGUAACUGACGUUGAGGCUCGAACGCGUGGGGAGCAAACAGGAAUAGAUACCCCAGUAGUC